AUCCCUACCUGAUGCAGAAAUGACCCACAUUUUCCAGCUGAGGCAAAUAGAGGCCUCAGGAGAUUAGCUAACUUGCCCAAGUUCACACAAAUAACUAAGACAAAAUUUGAAGCCACUUUGUUUCACCUUGAAAAGCUGGUGAGGAAGACAAACUGGAUUUUUAACUGACUGCAAUAUGACAAACAUAUGUGAAAAAAGAAAGACACAAUAGGAAAAUGGAGUGAAAGAAGGGCAGAGAGUGAAGGACAGUGUAAUUGAGAAUAAUCCAAAGCGAGCACCUGCAAAGGGAGUGGGGUGAAGUAUCGAGUUCAU
rnacentral:lncRNA from 1 species